rnacentral:rRNA from 1 species
UUUCAAGCGAGUUUGAUCCUGGCUCAGGACGAACGCUGGCGGCGCGCCUAAUGCAUGCAAGU